AUUUAGCUGACGAAUCCUAAAUAGAACGAAAUGAGUGUUCUGGAU
rnacentral:hammerhead_ribozyme from 1 species